GAGCAGUCAGAGCUCUUAACCAUUGAGCCAUCUCUCUAGCCCCUGCUUUUAACUUUUGCUGGCUGGCUUAAUGGUUCUACAGUUCAUACUCAAUGCUUGCCCAGAGCUACCUCUGUGAGGAAACAGGAGCUGGAAAUGCUGGGUAAAAUUCAGUCCGAAGUCCUUGGGUGUGGCGGCGGAAUCCGGAUGUCAUGGAGCAUGAAGGCUUUCUCACGGAGCCCAUCCAUUCUUCCUGCCUCUACUAUCACCCCUCUCCAGAAGCAUUGCACUGGCUGACACACAGCGGCACGCCCUCUUAAAUGCAUCAACAACUGCCUUUUUCUCAGCAGAGGAUUCCAAAAGAACAUUUCCAGACUCUGCCACAGCCUCCCCUUCUUUGUAACUAAUCACCGUUUCCAUACACAGGCUUUGUUUUGUUUUGUUUUGUUUUGUUUUGUUUUGUUUUUAACAUAUUGCACUUUCUCCACCACAUCCAACAAUUUGCCAUAGGAAACAUUAGUCACUUCAAAACCUUUGCUAUAACAAUCCACAAGAACGUAUCAGUUGAUCUCUAUGAAGUAUGUCUGAGGGAAACAGGGUAUUCCUCCUGCCCAGCUGCAUCUGCAAGUUGAAGACUGCAGUCUUGAUCCAUUCACCGGGAUAGACUUUGGGGGAGUGCUUUCUGUGAUUCGGUCAUAUGAGUCAACAAAUCAGCAGUCAACAACCUGAAUUGUCUAUGAUGACUUCUCUUGCAAAGAAAAAGAAGAUAAUGAAGUUUCAAGUUGUCUCUUUCUUUCCUUCCCUACUCGCCCCUACCUGCAGGGAUAAUCAACGGGGACCCAGGGCAGGAGAGAGAGAGAGAGUGGGAGGGACAAGAGACACGAAGAAUGAGAGCAAGUCAAUCAUACUGAUCAAGCUCUGAAAACUUUAUUCAAGAGUGGCAAAAUAAGCAUAAGCAAGAGGAGGCUCCAAGGGACGGGGGAAGAGCCCGGGGGCUCUCUGAAGGUCAGGUGGCAAUCUUCAGCUCCUGGAACCAACGGUCACAGUGUCCUCUUUCCCACAAACCUUCUUACUGUUAUGACCACGAAUGUUCUCUCAGGAUUGUUUAUGUAAGCUA